rnacentral:rRNA from 1 species
GUGCCAGCAGCAGCGGUAAUACGGAGGGUGCGAGCGUUAAUCGGAAUUACUGGGCGUAAAGGGUACGCAGGCGGAUGAUUAAGUGAGAUGUGAAAUCCCAGGGCUUAACCUUGGAACUGCAUUUCAUACUGGUUAUCUAGAGUAUUGAAGAGAGGGUAGAAUUCCAUGUGUAGCGGUGAAAUGCGUAGAGAUGUGGAGGAAUACCAGUGGCGAAGGCGGCCCCUUGGUCAAAUACUGACGCUCAUGUACGAAAGCGUGGGGAGCAAACAGGAUUAGAUACCCUGGUAGUCCACGCUGUAAACGAUGUCGAUUUGGAGGUUGGCUUUAAGUCUGGCUUCCGGAGCUAACGGC